rnacentral:lncRNA from 1 species
AAAAAAAAAAAAAAGUGCUGCAGCAAGUUUUUACUAGUUUUAUGAAAUACAGUCCACAUACCAUAAUAUUCAGCCUUUUAAACUGUACAAUUCAGUGUUUCUGUGUGUAUUCACAAGGUGUGGUAUAUUCACCACUAUGUAAUUAUAGAACAUUUUUGUCACCUCCCAAAAGAAAUCUCGUAUCAUUAGUAGUCAUUCCCCAUUUUCCCCUCCCAUCAGCCCCUGGCAAUUACUAAUCUACUUUCUGUUUCUAUAGAUUUGCCCAUUCUGGACAUUUUAUAUAAAUUGGAAUCAUACAACUUGUGACAAUUAGCAUCUGGCUUCUUUCACUUAGUAUAAUGUUUUCAAGACCCAUCUAUGUUGUGAAAUGAAUGCAUAAAUAAAAACAGGCUUAUGUGAUCCUUCUAAGAGAUUAUUUGCAGUUUCAACAUGGCACACUGAGAGGGCCAAGAAGAAAUGUGCAGACGGGAAAAAAACCGUUUUCCCUAAAGGAAGCCUGCUGGACAACAAAGCAGAGUUCAGGUGUCCUGGAAUUUAAAUCCUUGACUUCUCCUGAUGCUGCCUCCCACGUGUUGGUAAUUUUAGGCUCAUUACUUGAUCUGCAAUCUCCUUACAUGGGAUUGAUCCAAAUGGGGCUGACGUUCAAUUGUUUACUAAAGCGGCCACCUUCUUUCAUUGUUAGUGUCUAAACUGAUGACCAAGAAGCAGUUUUUACAGAUUUUAAGCAAAAUUAAAGCAAAUUAAUAACUAAGAGUAAGACACUUUCCGUCAAAACCCAUGAACUGGCAGACUGAAGAAAGAAUCCAGGCAGCGAUAAGUACAACUAUGACAUACGUAGCCCACACUUUCAUCUGGACCUAUAGCCCAGAGAAACAGAACCCCUUUUGAUCUGGGGCCAGCCAAACUAGAUAUUUCAUAAAUACAGAUGCAAAUUCAACACCCGUCCCACAUGCUCUUUACUGUGACUAGAAAUAAAUAAGAGCAGCAACAGCAGGUGAUGUCUA